rnacentral:rRNA from 1 species
AGUGAACGCUGGCGGUAUGCCUAACACAUGCAAGUCGAACGGCAGCACGCUGAUAUCUUGCUCUUACGGGUUGCGGGUCGCGGACGUGUGACGAAUACAUCCUAAUCUACUUUUUCGGAUGGGUUAACGUAGCUAAGCUUACUCUAAUACCGCAUACGACCUACGGGUGAAAGCAUUGGAUCUUCUGACCUUGCGCGGUUGAAUGAGCCGCUGUCGGAUUAGCUAGUUGGCGGGUUAAAUGCCCACCAAGUCGACGAUCCGUAGCUGGUCUGAGAGAAUGGUCAGCCGCACUGGAACGGAGACACGGACAAGAGUACUAAGGGAGGCAGCAGUGGGGAACAUUGGACAAUGGGCGCAAGCAUGACCCAGCCAUAGCGCGUGGGUGAAGAAGGCCUUCGGGGUGUAAAGCCGUUUUGUUGGGAAAGAAAAGCAGCAGGUUAAGACCAAGCUGUUGUGACGGUACCGAAAGAAUAAGCACCGGCUAACUUCGUG